rnacentral:sRNA from 1 species
UUUCGCAUCGGUGUAGCGAUGCGGGUCGUCGCCGAACUCGCCGAGGAUCCGGGCGCCGAGCACCGGCCCGAGGCCGGGCAGG